rnacentral:rRNA from 1 species
CAGCAGCCGCCGCGGUAAAACCAGCACCUCGAGUGGUCAGGAGGUUUAUUGGGCCUAAAGCAUCCGUAGCCGGUUGCAUAAGUUUUCGGUUAAAUCUAUGCGCUUAACGUAUAGGCCGCCGAAAAUACUGUGCAGCUAGGGAGUGGGAGAGGUACACGGUACUCGAUAGGAAGGGGUAAAAUCCUUUGAUCUAUUGAUGACCACCUGUGGCGAAGGCGGUGUACCAGAACACGUUCGACGGUGAGGGAUGAAAGCUGGGGGAGCAAACCGGAUUAGAUACCCGCGUAGUCCCUGUCUCUUAUAC